CUGCGGGGAGAGGAGCCGAGACCUGGGAGAGAGGCCUGGUGGGGGCCUACGGAGGGCAAGCGGUCCGCGCUCGGGGAGGAGGUGACGAGGGUUCUCAGGAAAGUCGAYCAUCACACCUCGGUGCCUGGUUUCGUGCUUUCGGGUGGCUUCUCCCCCCCACCUAACUACUGUCCAUCUACCCGACCUCCCUGAUCUCUUGGCUCCUGACCCCUCGCGGCCCUCCAACAGCUGAGAGAUUCACAUCUAUGAUUGGCAUACUUCGGGGUUCCCUGGUUGUGAGUCCCGAGAGGCUCAGCAGGACCAUUACCAGAGUUGGGUAAGGGGGAGCCUUGGCCACCGUCCCCUGGACAUCCCCCAGGAAGUACUCAGCGCAGAAGCAUCCCCUCCUCUCACUGACGCUGAGGUCCAGCUUUUGUUCCUGCGUCUGAAGAUAGAAACCCGGUGGGAGCACUCACAUCUGUCACCUUACUGGACCAUGCCGGUGGGGUUUCAGAGACUUUCCCCUGAGCUGGGUUUGAGUGGAGUGGAAGGAUUAUGGGGCCUGAUGACACCUUGGGAGGUCUCAUACUGAAAAGACACGUUCUGCCUAUGAAAUUCAAAACAAAAAAAAUACCAUAGUACACAAUAAAUG